rnacentral:rRNA from 1 species
GACGAACGCUGGCGGCGUGCCUAAUACAUGCAAGUCGAGCGCAGGAAGCCGUCUGAACCCUUCGGGGGGACGACGGUGGAAUGAGCGGCGGACGGGUGAGUAACACGUAAAGAACCUGCCCAUAGGUCUGGGAUAACCACGAGAAAUCGGGGCUAAUACCGGAUGUGUCAUCGGACCGCAUGGUCCGCUGAUGAAAGGCGCUCCGGCGUCGCCCAUGGAUGGCUUUGCGGUGCAUUAGCUAGUUGGGGGGGUAACGGCCCACCAAGGCGACGAUGCAUGGCCGCACUGAGAGGGUGAUCGGCCACACUGGGACUGAGACACGGCCCAGACUCCUACGGGAGGCAGCAGUAGGGAAUCUUCCACAAUGGACGAAAGUCUGAUGGAGCAACGCCGCGUGAACGAUGAAGGCUUUCGGGUCGUAAAGUUCUGUUGUAAGGGAAGAACAAGUGCCGCAGGCAAUGGCGGCACCUUGACGGUACCUUGCGAGAAAGCCACGGCUAACUACGUGCCAGCCGCCGCCGUAA